AACGAACGCUGGCGGCAUGCCUAACACAUGCAAGUCGAACGAGACCUUCGGGUCUAGUGGCGCACGGGUGCGUAACGCGUGGGAACCUGCCCUUAGGUUCGGAAUAACUCCCCGAAAGGGGUGCUAAUACCGGAUAAUGUCUUCGGACCAAAGAUUUAUCGCCUUUGGAUGGGCCCGCGUUGGAUUAGCUAGUUGGGAGGGUAAAAGCCUACCACGGCGACGAUCCAUAGCUGGUCUGUGAGGCUGAUCAGCCACUCUGGGACUGAGACACGGCCCAGACUCCUACGGGAGGCAGCAGUGGGGAAUAUUGGACAAUGGGCGAAAGCCUGAUCCAGCAAUGCCGCGUGAGUGAUGAAGUCCUUAGGGUUGUAAAGCUCUUUUACCCGGGAUGAUAAUGACAGUACCGGGAGAAUAAGCUCCGGCUAACUCCGUG
rnacentral:rRNA from 1 species